rnacentral:misc_RNA from 1 species
UAAAAAGUACCAAAUAAUGCACCAUUAGCAGCCUUAAACCACAACUCCAAAAUAAUUCUUUACAAGUGCAAGUUUACAACAUUUAUUUUCAUCGUGCACAAAAAAGGCUCUUUGUAUUUUGCUUCCCACUCGCUUCGACAGCCCAUUUUCAUACACUUUUGCAACCUAAAGACGCUACAGAAUUAACUUAAAUAUGCAAAAAACAAAUACAAAAAAGACCUACCAUUUACAAUACAAGAAAAGAUUUCAAAACCCACUACUUUUGGGAGCAUCCCUACGCCAGGCCGUGCCAUGCUGCCCAGCUUCAAGUCCAGAUGGCGCUCCAUUAGACUGAUAGGCAGCAUUAACAUGGUUACUAGGAACUGUCCAAGUGCCCUGCAGCCACGACCGGGUAGUGUUUUGCUGACCAUGCAUCACAUUCAUUGGGGUUUGCAAAGGCAUGGCUUGUGGAGCAAUUUGAGGACGUGGCGUCUGCUGCACCAUAUGAGAACGUAACAUUAACUGUUGCAUGCCAUGCACCUGCACCGGCUGUAGCUGUGGAAUCUGUGUUUUGUUGUCUUCAGGGUGCCACUCAGGCAUGUCAUCGUCAUCAUCGUUCCAUGGUUGCAUUGCAACCCCAAUACUUCUAUUAUUCUGCCAAUUCCCUAGAGAGGCACUAGUUUGUCCAUAUCUUUGUACAAGCUGCCUCAUUUGAUCUACAGGUCGAGAUGGUUUUGGCGAAUGUAAUUGAUAAGGAGGCAUCCCUUGCCCCCGAGUAACACUAUGGGUGGAAAACUGUGGCCCUGAUGCAACAGAACCACGUGAAAAAUUAAACUCAGGUAAGUCAUCGUCAUCCCGAGUGGCCGGUGGGCCAAACCCAGGAGGCACAUCAUCAUCGUCAUCGUCAUCAGGUUCAACUCUAGUGUAGGUAGUAGGUCCAUUACUGGGUGAGGUCUGUUUAGGCGUGAGAUUCACAUUUACAUUAGCAUCCUUUUCUUGGCGUCUCCUAGAAAAGGAGUGUUGCUUUUUUGAAUUGUGUUUAUGGGGUGAUGCGGAGUUGGGUGACAUUGUUGACGUUAUUUGAGGUUUUCUCCAUACAAUAACACCAAUUAGACCAUUAUCAAUAGCAUUAAGGGCAUCAAUUUGGUCCUUUGGAAGGACCUUUGCAAGCAAUUCGCUAGUCUUUGACAGAGGUGGGCAGAAAUAGAGUUCCACUCCAGAAGCAGGCUCCGCAAAACCCACCCUCCCAUCCAUGACGUACGAAUCAGACACCUCACUAAAACCUGCACGCUCACUAUCUGCUGACCCCUCCUUGCAAACAAAGUGUAGAACCAUAACAGCACGACUUCGGGACAUUGGAAGCUCUUGAAGGAACUUCUCAAAUGCAUUCAGUCUGACCCUCCCCUUUAUCUCAAUAAAGCCAGACCAAUCUUUUGCAGAUGUUUUUUCACCACUUUUAAAGAUGCCAAUAACUGAUGCAGUUAACGAAAUAUUCAGCUGAAGUAAGCCUUCCCAAACAUGCUCACCCUUAGGCAUGGCAAGGGAAGGUGCUGCCUCUGAUUUUACAAGACAGCCGGUGGAUUGUCCAUCAGCAUCCAAUUUUGUAUUCUUCACAUCCGUAAGAUCAGGUUUACCAGAGGUAAUAUCAUCAAGAUCUCUUAGAGUUGCAUCGGGAGACUUGGAUUUCGAGACAACUUGUGAAUCAUCCUUUUCAGAGGCAGGUGUAGUUUUUCCAGUAUCCACUGGUAAAUUUUCAAAUGGUGGCUCUGAAUUAAGGGAUUCCAUGAACUCGUCAAGGGAGACAAUUGGAGGAAGAAAUUCUGCAUCUUUCAGUUCAUCAUCCACCAUGAGCCUUUGCAUCAAAUCAGUACCUUCGCUAGAAGCGAUCAUGAGAACAUUCUGGUCCUCUGAACAACUCUUUUCACUAACAGCAUUUCCUUUAGCUUGCAUUUGAUCAGGUUUGGAGGGUAAAGAGAUGUCCUGCUUUGGUUUGGGUUGCAUACGAGUGAGUGAACUUGCCCCAACAGCAACCUCCACAGAGACACUAUCCUCAGGUUCAACUUCUACUUGGAACUCACCCUUGUGUGUUUUCUUCACCAAUCUUCUCAUAUCAAUAUCAAAAUUAGGCAAUACCACCAUUUGAGCAAGCUCCUCAGCUUUUGCUAUCCGCCAUUGAGAAAGCUCCUUAGAUGCAAGCUCCUCUGCAGUCAUAGAGCAGAGUUUCUCAGGGGGGAUUUCUCCUGACAUAACUCUUUCUCUCAAUUCAGGAUUAUUAUGAUCCUUCAAAUUGAAUAACAGAGACCUGCCCUUCUCCUUAUAUUUCUUGUUUACUCCACCAAAUAAUUUGUAGAGUUCGGCUUCAAUUUUAGAUGCCAAAACUUGGGGGGACAGAGCCACUUGAUCUCCACUGUUCCUGCAGAAAACCUCUGGAUCUGGCUGUUUUUGGGCAGUUCCAACAUCCUUUUUUUCUUCCACUCUCAUAUCGGGUUCCAAUACCCAGGAUAGCCCAUUUCCCUGCAAAAGUUCAUCUUUAACCAAAAAGUUGUCACUAAACGAAGCAUCCUCAUCAUGCAGACCAAUAGUUGACUGAAAGGUCUGGCCAUCAUUUUUUGAGGUCUCUGUAGAAUCACCAGUACUAGAAGAAAUUUCUUGAGAUGUAUGUUCACCAUCAUUAGACUUCUGAGCUAAAGGAUCCAUCUUGGUGGGCAAAGAUCCUUUGUGCUCCUCAGACACAUCAGCAGUCCCAGAAGCAUUUUCAGAAGGUUGAGAAUUUUCCAGUAUUGGUCCUGCAGUACUAGCAUCCUCAUUAUUAGAGUUCUUACUGCUGCUUGAAGCUUUAUCCUGCCGCCGAGAAACCAAUGCUAGAGCUGCUGCUAAUGACUCCCUUAGCUUGGACCUUACAGAAUUGGAAGACACAUUUUGAAGCAUUGGAGAUCGUUGUCCACUUUGGUUUUUCUGAACUGGUAACUGCUGCAGACCAGCUUUGGUAGAUGUUGAUCUCUUAGAUGGUGCUUGUGAACGCUGCAAACCUGAAUUGUUAGAAAUGGACUGGGAUUGCAUCUGCACUGGUAAUUUAUUUGGUGCAGACAUUUUCUGCAGCCAUGGCCUAUUCUCUAUCUGUGCAACCCGCUUGUUAGGCAUUGAUAACUUCUGCAACCCAGGAUUACUGAAUGUGGGUUCUACAGGUGCCUUUCGCUUGCUCAACAUUGAUGGCUGCUGGGAUCCCACACUGCUCAACAUGGCUUCCAUCUCCCCUAGUUGCUUGCUAGGUGACAAGAACAGUUUUGACACUAGACUGUAUGCCUGUGGAUCCAUCUGUCCCAUUUGCAUGUUUGAUACUGAGAAUUUCUGCAAGACACAGUUAUCAGCCAUAUUUACAUUUUCCAGUGGCUGUGCCUGGUUGCUUGAUACUGAGAUCUGAAGUGAUUGUGUAUCAGUGGAACCCAGCCCCAUCAUUGCCAUCUCCUGCAAUGCAGGAUCAUUGAUCCCCGGUCCCAUUAUUCCCAUUUGUACUGAUGAGUGUAAUUUAUUUUGAAUGUGUUCCAGCUGACCCAUUUUGAUGCCCUGCAUUGGCAACUGACCAGAGAUUCACCGAAGAGGUCGACAGCUAAUCGCCGGAGAUAGAGUUGAAUAGCAAGAGAGUCGGUAACGGAGAUUUGUAAGCUCUUUUGGUU